ACCUGCAGUCGACGGUAGCACAGAAGAGCUUGCUCUUUGGGUGACGAGUGGCGGACGGGUGAGUAGUGUCUGGGAAACUGCCCGAUGGAGGGGGAUAACUACUGGAAACGGUAGCUAAUACCGCAUAACGUCUUCGGACCAAAGUGGGGGACCUUCGGGCCUCACACCAUCGAGAUGUGCCCAGAUGGGAUUAGCUAGUAGGUGGGGUAACGGCUCACCUAGGCGACGAUCCCUAGCUGGUCUGAGAGGAUGACCAGCCACACUGGAACUGAGACACGGUCCAGACUCCUACGGGAGGCAGCAGUGGGGAAUAUUGCACAGUGGGCGCAAGCCUGAUGCAGCCAUGCCGCGUGUAUGAAGAAGGCCUUCGGGUUGUAAAGUACUUUCAGCGGGGAGGAAGGCGAUGAAGUUAAUAGCUUCGUCGAUUGACGUUACCCGCAGAAGAAGCACCGGCUAACUCCGUGCCAGCAGCCGCGGUAAUACGGAGGGUGCAAGCGUUAAUCGGAAUUACUGGGCGUAAAGCGCACGCAGGCGGUCUGUCAAGUCAGAUGUGAAAUCCCCGGGCUCAACCUGGGAACUGCAUUCGAAACUGGCAGGCUAGAGUCUUGUAGAGGGGGGUAGAAUUCCAGGUGUAGCGGUGAAAUGCGUAGAGAUCUGGAAGAAUACCGGUGGCGAACGCGGCCCCCUGGACAAAGACUGACGCUCAUGUGCGAAAGCGUGGGAGAGCAAACAGGAUUAUAUACCCUGGUAGUCCACGCCGUACACGAUGUCGACUUGGAGGCUGUUCCCUUGAAGAGUGGCUUCCGAGAGCUAACGCGUUAAGUCCACCGCCUGGAGAGUACGGCCGCAAGGGUUAAAACUCAUAUGAAUUGACGGGGGCCCGCACAAGCGGUGGAGCAUGUGGUUUAAUUCGAUGCAACG
rnacentral:rRNA from 1 species